rnacentral:lncRNA from 1 species
GCCUUGCGGAUUGAGAAUAAAUUUUCAUACUUGCCACAAACUCAACCAAAGACUGUUUGAUCACAGAAUAUCAUAAUGCUGGACUCAUAACAAACAAUAUAAGGCCAUGCAUAUAAAAACUUACUGAUGGUUCUAUAUUCUUUGGUGCAAAUCAGUCGAUGGCGAUUAAUUCUUACUGAUUAAAAUGUCCAAUGCUUUCGCCACACG